rnacentral:lncRNA from 1 species
UUAUUUACUUCUUAAGUUAUCUCAAAGUGCUUUUCUUUUAUUGGAGUACUUUGGUAUGUUUGAAACAUUACUAACUUAGUAUCCUAUCCAUUUCCUUUUUCCCACGUUCUGUUGGUUACAAUGCCAAGCCACGUCUUGCUUCAAAAUAUAACAUACAAAAAUGAAAUGAUCAAGUAGUGAGGUUGAAAUUAAAUUUGGAAAUGCAAUUGAAGAUUCUUCAGCACUUUCUAUGGUUCUGCAUUUGUUUUUUUUGUUACAAGGCUAAAGAAAAGAAACAAAAAGAGAAAGGAAAACAAGAAAAGAAUAGAAACAGCUAGUUCCUAAGGAAUAAAGUUCCCAUCUCAUCUGUCAAAAGCAGCGACAGCAGGUCUUCAAGAAGAGAUGAGUAGACAGUUAAAUCAACAUCUGUUGUAGCUCCUAGCUUCGCCACAAAGUCCACACAAUGAUUACCCUAUCUGAACGAGUGAUGAAUAAAGUAAUUUCUUGAAUUCAGCAGGUCCUUAAUAUUUUGAAUGAACACAACAUAGACAUGAAAGAAGGAAGUGUCUCCCUUGAUGAGAUUAACCACAAGCAGAGAGUCAGAAUAACAUACCAAUUCCUCAAAAUCUAAAUUUACUGCCAAUUGUAACCCCUGAUAUAUCGCUGUCAGUUCUGCAAAAAGGAUGUCGUUGGGACUAUUUAUGAAUCCUGAAAAUCCAGUGACAUAGCUUCCUGAAUAGCUUUGGAUAACACCUCCAAAACCUGUGCGAAUUGGGUCUCCAAUACAGCUACCGUCACAUUGAGAAUGGUGCAGACAUGGUUGUCGUUGUUCCAACGGACCAGCCUUGUUGGAGGAGAAGUGCUAGCGUCAUUAUGCAGGCAUCGACAGAUGAUUUAUGCUAUGCUGUUAAUGGCAGAACCGAGGCGAUAAACUGACCAAGUUUCAUUAUUAAGGCACAUAAGAUUGAGGUGCCUCCAAGUCCACCAUAACCCCGCAAGAAAGAUAGUGGAACGGUGGCAACUAACUCCCUCUUUUAAGCAAUCAAGAACAGAAGAGGACGAGAAGAAUGACGGACUAGUGAAGCCAAUUUUAUGCCAAAUAAUAGUGGAAAAUCUGCUGUCCCGAACGCAAUGGAGAAAUGACUUUUCGUGGUCACCGCACUUGUUGCAGAUGGCUGAAUUGGUCAUGUUCCUACGGUUGAGCAAAGACAAAGUAGGGACAACGUUGUGACAAGCAAGCCAGACAAAAAAAUUGAAUUUUUCCGGAACUUUUAAUCUCCAAAUCCAAGCCGAAGUUGUGUUGUUAUAGUUCUCAUUUUCUGUUUGUGAUAAAAUCCAAUUGUAUCCACUAUUCGUAGAGUAAACACCACUGUUAUUAUGAGGCCAAAUAUAAGCAUCAUCUAUGGAAGCGUUAAAAGUGAGACAAGUGUUGUUGAUGACUUCAGCUAUAUCUGUUGGGAGGAUGGUGUAGAGCGCUUGAGACCGUUGACCAGCAAUGGUGAAAAAAUCUUUUAUUGUUAGAUGAAGAUCAUGAAUAUCCACAAAGGGAACCUGAGUAGCAAGCUUACCAAGAGAACUCCAGUUGGUGUGCCAAAAGGAAGAAUUACCUGAACCUGCUCUCCAUGUGUAACCGCUUUUUAGAACACUUUUUGCUUGGAUAAUGGAAGACUAGGAUGGGGAGUUGUUGUGAUGGGCUGUUGCCGUGUGAAGGAAAUUAUGGCCACUAGAAUAAUUACUAGAAAGAAGAUUCACCCAUAAUUUGUCAGUUUUUUGUACCAUGUUCCAAAAAAGCUUCCCUAGGAGACAAGUGUUAGCUUCUCUAGCUGAACGAAUACCCAAACCCCUUAAUUUUAUCGGACUAGCAACUGUCUCUCAAUUUACAAGAUGAAUACCUUUGUUGUUGUGAUUAUCUAAAUAAAAUUACGAGUGGUUUGGUCAAUACUGUCGCAAAUAUUUUGAGGAAGCCAAUUUAUUUGCAUAUAAUAUGUUGGAAUGGAGGAUAAAACAGAUGAAGCUAGAGUCAGUCUACAUGUUUUAUUGAGAAGUUUGCUCUUCCAAGUUGCUAGUCUAUUUUGCAUUUGUUCAAUUAUGAAUAAAAAAUCACUCCUCUUAGGCCGCCCUUUGAGGAUAGGGAAGCCUAGGUACUUGUCAAGAGAUGUUGUGCUGCGGAUUCCAGAUAUAGCUGUGAGCUUGUGAACUUUUGCUGGAGGAGUACCUGAAGAAAAGAAAUCUCUAGACUUAGAGAGAUUAAUCUUUAAGCCUGAAGUCUUGCUGAAACCGUCAAAUAAAUCGGACACAAAUUUGAACUGGGAGCCUUUGGCUUUUAUGAAGAGAAGAACGUCAUCCGCAAAGAGAAGAUGAGAUAAAUGAGGCCCUGUGGUGGUGAUCUGAAUAGGUUCCCAACUUCCUUGAUUCACUGCAUUAUUAAUAGCCAUAGAGAGUUUCUCCAUGCAAAGAAUGAAAAGGUAUGGAGAGAGUGGAUCCCCUUGCCGAAGGCUAUGAGUCGGUUUGAACUGAGGCAAUUUAUUUCCAUUCCAUAAAAUAGAGAAAGUGGAUGAAGUAACACAGUGCAUAAUAAGCUUAAUGGUAAUAUCAGGGAAACCAAAAUCAUGAAGACAAUUAUCAAGGAAUUCUCAUUUGACAUUAUCAAAAGCUUUCUCGAGAUCAAGUUUAAAAGCCACAUAGCCUUUCUUCUUUUUGGAUAUUCUCAUGAAGUGAACAAUUUCCUGCAAAACAAUUGAAUCUUGGUUCUACAUUUGUUUCAUCAUAUCAAGUUUAGAUUGAAAAGUUUAAAUGGACUAUAUGCAAAUAUUAGUGACAAACCUCCAAAGUUUUGUAAUCAUAAACAAAAUUAGGUGUUCUGCAUUAACAAAUCUCUGGUUGGGAAUUUUUGUGUAAAAUCAAUAAUAUAAUAUGCAGUCAUACAAUUCUUACUAUUGAAAUUUGUAUUUCUCAUUUUUUUUCAAAAUCUAUUAUAUAUCUGCAUAAUAAGAAACACUAACUAAAUUUUUUCUAUACAUAUAUAUUUUUUUUCCCAUCGUGCUUGUGCAUAAUGCUUUUUUCUUUUCAAAAUAUUGUGUUUUUUUAUUUUUUAUUUUAAAAUAUUGAUUUUUUUUUUCUCCAAAAUAUUUAGAAUGUUUUUCUUUAUUCUCAUUGGUUCCUUAGAGGUAUAUACGAGACGUGUCAGACACUAAAUAUGAAUGUCUCUUUACGUUAUCGCCUCGUAGGAGUUUAAAUCAUUCCGCUAAACUAACUUUCGCUGGUAAUUUUUUUACAAUGUUAUUGGUAUCAUACUGAUAUUUUACUAAAUGAUAGUUAAUUUAACCAUUCGUAUAAACAACACCAAUAACAAAACCUUAUUUUUUUUAAGAAAGAAUUACAGUACAGAAAUUCUCUAUCAUAUGUAAAAAUAAACAGAAUUUCAAGUGUGAACCUAUUCUCCCAUAAUUCUGUCGUUUUACAACCUUAGAUAUUGAUUCAUCAAAGUUGUAAUAACUACUAUUUAAAAUUGUGAAGUGUAUAGUUAAAUAUUUACUACAUGCAAUAAUGUUAAAUAUUUAACAAGAAAAUAAAAACCUAAAAAGUAUUUAGUAAUCCAUUCUCGACUGAAUCAUCAUUUUCAUAGCAACUGGCAAAUCCAAAUUGCUCCAAAACACCCAACCAUGUCUACCGUCAACUAACACCAAAACAAUUAUUGUAUUUAUUUAUGAAUAUUUAGCAAUAUAUAGUACAGUAUAGCAGCAUAAUCAAUUCAAGCAGCAAAGCAAGCAAAACAGCUUUCCUUAUUUAAUUUCUUGUAACACGCAAUUCCAAGAUUAAAAAUUAGCAUGAAAUUAAUAGCACUCCACCUAGUACAUGUUGUGGCACCCACACAAAUUCAACCCUUUCAAACCUCCAUGAACUUAGACACUAUACGAGCACUAUUCAUGGAAGCCCUAAGCUGGUUUUCUUUUCAAGAAUCUUGGUUUUAAUUAAUUAAUAGUAUUGUAUAUUCUAUCUUCCCUAGUUUGCAUCUCUGAUUUUGAUACACGAGUUGAUAUUGAUGUAGACCGUGGAAUCAAUAUACAUAUAGAGGCUUAAUUCAACUUUGUUAGUUUAUCUUAGUUCUUAAAAUAUUUUUACAAAUUUAAUUGGUGAAAUAAAAAAGUUUUCCAUAUGUAUCCAAUAAUGUCUAAUUAAUUUGUUACUUUAUAUUAGUUCUUAAAAUAUUUUUAUAAAUUGCUAGAUAGUGAGGUAUAACUUAAUACAUGUAUAAAACUUGUUUAUAUUAAUGGAGUGUAUAACGAGACUAAAAUUACACAAUUACCAUACUUCAAAACUAUUUGAUAAAAUUUUAAUAUUUUAUUAAAAACAAAAAGAGCAAUAUAUUCUUCAUAAUUUUUAGUACAAUAUAGUAUUAAAUAGGAAUUUCUGUAUGAUGUUUAGCACUAGACGUGCAUGUCAGUGUGACCACUACUUUAUUUUUUCUUAAUAUCAUAAUUCUUAUACAUUAUAUUAAGAAAAUUUAAAUAAAUUAUUUCCGUUGUAUUUUUCAAAUGCAACCAGGCAGUUUCAUCACAGCUCAAAUGACGUGAGACUCAAAAUCACACCCUUUAUAAAAUAUGAGUCAUAUAUUUAUGAACUAAAUAAAAAUUCGUUGGUUUGUGUGGUGUUGUAUAUUUUUUUUUGAUAGAACGUGGCGUUGUAUAUAUAUUUUGUAUGAUAAACAAUUUUUUAUUUUUUUUUAUAGAUUUAUUGGCAUGAGAUCGUCGGCGCACAUCAUAAUAUAUAAAAGAUAGAUGUCACAAAAUAGUUGUAUAAAUAUCAUUUCUCUAUAUAAAAUGGUCACUAUGUCUAGAAUCAUAUCACAUAUUGUCAAAAUCAUUUCGAAGAUACAAUAUAGGUGACAUAAGUGAUAGAUAUUUGCGUCAUUUAACGAUUUAGUUUAGGGUUCACCGUUGCAUUUGCGAGUGUGAAUACCUAAUUUCACAAACUAAUAAAAUAAAACAAUUUGUGAAUCAUCAAGCCUUCCACAAACAUCAAAUAUUAAUCAACUUUAUUAAUAUUACAUUUGAUGGAUUUGAUAAAAUAUUACACGUUCUAAAAUAAAACAUAUUUUCAUCAACUGAAUAGGUCAAAAACUAGUUGCAUUGUAGUAGCCUAAAACACUUAUUGAGUGAAUGAAUGGCCAACGUCAACAUACGAGAAGAAAAACAAAAACAAACUUGCCACCCUAUUGUGUGGAAAUGAAUUGAUAAUUAGUCAAUAUCAAUAAUUAAGCUUAUCCAGGUAUCAUGGUUAGUCUACAUUAUACGAGAAUCCCAUUUUAAAGACUUUUAUCAUAUAAUCUCAUUUUUCUCCAUUGUCAACUCAUCACUUUUCCCUAACCACUUGAAAAAUAUAAAACUUUUGUUGUUUAUAUAUACGUCUUAAAGACUCCAUGAGUGCUCUUAUGGUCUUUCAUAACAUUUCCUUGGUCCCGAUUCGGAUGCGUAAUAGGUGGCACAAUGCUCGCAAUUGUGGUAUUCAUGUCAUCUCAUCUCAUAUUUUCCGUGAAGGCAACUGUUGUGCUGACAAGUUGGCAGCCAUGGGUCAUUCAGCUCACGGCACUGUCUGGUUUACCUCGUUACCCCAAAAUGUGACUGCUGAUUUUUUCAGGGAUAGAGUAGGUCUGCUCAAUUACAGAUUCCCUUAAUCUGCUGCUUCUUGUUUUUUCUUUUUCCUUUUUAGCUUUUGCUUUGAGGGUCUUGGCCUAGUCCCCCCUCUUGUAUAUAUUUUUCCCCUUUUUUUUAAUAAUAUUUUGAGCUUGGCGGCGUAGGAUGGAGGUUCUCCGGGGUGACAACCUAGUUGGGAUGUCGGAGGUCCCUCUUGAUGCCUGCCUGCCCUUUCUCCUGGUUUAUCCAAAAAUAUAUACGUCUUAAAAAAUUGUACAUUUUAUUUUCAUUUUUCUAUCUUUGUUAUCAAUUAUACAAAUAUUUGACCUUAUGUUAUAAGUAUGUAAAUAACGUGCAAGUUGUAAUUUCCCUAAAAAAAAAGAGUGCAAGUUGUACUUAAUUUAUUUUUAUAUAAAUUUGGAAAACUAGAAAUGUUACAUAAAUGAAUGUUACAAAUCGACAAAUUAACCUCGUAUUAUAGGUCGUAUUUUAGGUUUGAGUCAUAUGAUACAAUCUCUAGAUUUUUUUUCUAUACUCUAGAAAUAGAUUAUAACAAAGGAAAAAGAAUAAAAACAAACGGAACAUAAACCUAACAUAGGGAAAGAAAGAGAGAAAAAGAAAUAAAGAAAAAAGUUGACAAAUGCAAUAUAUUUUCUCCCUUCGAAAUUUUCUCAUGAUUAUUUCUUGGGAUCUCAUUUUGAACAUCAUAUUUUGCACAUCAACCAAAUUAACAUUGACAUUAUGACGUUCACAUAUAAAUCUUCUCAUAAAUAUUUGAACAAAGGGAUGUUAAUUUAGUUAAUUGAUCCAAGUCAACCAUUAUAUUUGCUCUCUAUGAUCCUUGGCCUUCCAUUGUUGUGUUGGCUCGGAGACAUUAUUUUCCUCGAUCCUCUCCCCAUUUAGUCUCAACUAUUAAAAGGGACUAACGGAGGGUGACAUGACACUGAUGUUGCUAAGUUCAUGUUCCACAAUUUAUGUGUCAUUUAGUCUGGUUAAAUCGCAUUUAGCUAAAUAGAAGAAUAUAAUUCCCAAAUUUCUUCGUCGUUCUUAUGUUGAAGGUGGAUCUAAACCAUGGCCUCAAAUAUGAGAUUUCAGCAUUGCUAUGUCUAUGGCUUAGUGGUGAUAUGUUGAAGUCGUAAGAAUGAUCAAGAAAUUUGGAAAUUCUAUUCUUCUAUUUAGUCACGGUUCCAUCGUGGCUAAAAUAGCCUUGACCGUGGCUAAAUGAUAACAACGUAAACUUAGCCACGUGGCUAAAGAUGGCACGUGUGGCAGUGACAUGUCACCCUUAGUUAAUCUCAAUUAAUAACAUGGAUUAAAAGUGUUGACGGAAACUUUUGGGGACCAAAAAAAGUGGAAAAUAUUUAGGGACAAAAAAAAAAAAUUGGGAUAUUUAUAUACACCAUUUAUUUAUCAAACCUAAAUGAAAAUAAAAGAUAAAACAAAAAUAUUUUCUUAGAACAACUUGACCUUAAAUAAAAUGGUUGACUUGGAUCAAAUAAUAGAAUUAAUAUAUGAAUCAUAAUAUCUCAUCCUGAUAGUUGAUACAAAGCUUCAAAUAAUUAAUUAUAUAUAUAUAUAUUUCCACCUAUCUCUUUUCCAACUCUAUAUAUAGGCAUAGCAUUGGCUUGCCACAAGAAAAAAAACAAGUUAAGGGUGAUAUCCUCUCUUGCAAACAUCACUUGGUUUGGUACUUUCACAUUGUCUCCUUUUGAUUCAAUUAUAUUCUUUAUCCAAAUUAAACGGCAAUUCCAAUAUUAUUCUGUUAAAUUAAGCUAAACUUCACAUGACAAAAUGUAAUUAUGCAGCUAUCAGUUGACUAAGAAAAAUAGACUUUCAUGCUAAAUUACAAAAGCUACUUUUUGUUUCUGAAUUUUUGCUGAUUAGUGUAUGGUUUUUUGCAGGUUAUUAAAAUGAGUCAAGUUUUUAGUGAUGAUGCUGUGUCAAGGGCCAUGGAAGAAAUAAAGAGCAAUCCUUCAUCACGUGGACACGGUGGUGCUAUUCUUCCACAUAUGCACAAAGUUUCAGGUCCUCCUAAGCAGACACUUUUCCAAGAUUUCAAACACAGUUUCAAUGAAACUUUCUUCUCAGAUGACCCUUUUGCCAAGUUUAAAGACCAAACAAAGAAAAGAAAGUUUGUUCUUGGACUCCAAUCUGUUUUCCCUAUUUUGGAAUGGGGAAGAGGUUACAAUCUUAAAAGUUUCAAGGGUGAUUUGAUUUCUGGACUCACCAUUGCAAGUCUUUGCAUUCCUCAGGUAUAUUUAUUUGUACAAAUGUCUCAAAGUAAAAUCUAUUUGUGUAAAUAUUAUGGCAUGUCGAUACAUAGAAAUCUGAUUAGACGUUUGUGUAAAUGUGAAUGCAUAAACAGGAUAUUGCAUAUGCAAAGCUUGCAAAUUUGGAACCUCAGUAUGCACUAUGUAAGCAACUUUGAUAUAUUAUGUAGUUCAGAUUAUAUACCUUCUUCAGUUAAUAUUGACGACGAGUUUGGUUUUGCAGAUACAAGUUUUGUUGCUCCUCUUGUGUAUGCUUUCAUGGGAAGUUCAAGAGAUAUUGCCAUAGGACCAGUAGCUGUGGUGUCUCUCUUGCUUGGAAGUCUGCUUUCAGAGGAGAUCAGUGACUUCAAAAGUCCUGAAUACCUUGCUCUUGCUUUUACUUCCACUUUCUUUGCAGGAGUCGUUCAAAUGGCACUUGGAGUUUUAAGGUAAACUACAGUACGUACUACUAUAAAUGCAUGGUUCUUGUCUUGUGUAUGCUUUGACUAAUUCCUUUUUCUUCAUUUUGCAGGCUUGGUUUCUUGAUUGACUUCCUAUCUCAUGCUGCCAUUGUUGGAUUCAUGGGUGGAGCUGCCAUUACUAUUGCACUCCAACAACUUAAAGGUCUUCUUGGUAUAAAAAAAUUCACCAAGAAAACUGAUAUUGUUUCUGUCAUGACAUCGGUUUUUAAGGCAGCCCACCAUGGGGUAAGCCUUCAUUUUCUUUUGAAAUCUUCCUCAAGUAUAUUAUCUAUUUGCAAGACUAUUCAUAAGUUGUUUUCAGCUUAUUUUCAUAAGUUAGUCAGGAUGACUUAUGAAAACAGCAUAUAGCUUAUAUGAAAACAACUAGACUUUAUUUUAUCUAUUGUUAUAGAAAGAGUUUAUAAAUAAGCAAUUAUAUGAUAAGAGUUUAUGCGAUAAGUACGUGAUUAAGUUGUUUCUGCUUACAGUGGAAUUGGCAGACAAUAAUAAUUGGACUAUCAUUCUUGGUCUUCCUUUUUAUAACAAAAUAUAUUGUAAGAAUGCCAAAAACUACCCUUCCUCUCUUCAUUUCCAUUUAAUAUUUACAUUUAUUGACCCUUUUAUGACUAUUCUUAUGUUGCAAUAAAACAGGCUAAGAAGAAUAAGAAACUCUUUUGGGUGUCUGCAAUGUCUCCUAUGAUUUGUGUUAUAGCGUCUACUCUUUCUGUUUACAUUACAAGGGCAGACAAGGAUGGAGUAGCAAUUGUAAGUAGCAUAUAGUUAUUUCUUCAAUAAUUUUAAACAAAAUGAAGCACUGUUUUUAAGACUCAAAAGUAUGCUAUUUCAGGUGAGACAUAUUGAGAAGGGUGUGAAUCCAUUAUCUAUUAAUAAAUUAAUUUUCAGUGGAAAAUAUUUUAGUGCUGCUAUUCGGAUUGGUUUGAUUUCUGGUAUGGUCGCACUCACGGUAAGCAAAUUUACUGAAAAUUCCUCAUCCCUUUUGUUUCAUAAACAUUUAUAGAACAUUUGAGUCAAUAUUGAUUUUAAAUUUAUAGGAAGCUGUGGCUAUUGGAAGAACAUUUGCUGCUAUGAAAGACUAUUCACUAGAUGGUAACAGAGAAAUGGUGGCACUAGGAACAAUGAACGUUGUUGGUUCUUUGACAUCUUGCUACGUGGCUACAGGUACCAAAGAGGGCUUAUUUACUGUUUGAGAGAGCUUAUGAAAACAGCUUAUGACAUGUCCAUAAACUGUUUUUAGCUUAUUUUCAAAACCUCGCCAUGAUGGCUAAUGAAAUUGACUUUAUUAUAUCUUUUCUUAUAGAAAUAUCUUAUGCACUUCAAUCAAAUCUUUUUUAUUUUGGCUUGAAUACACUUUUGGUCCUUUACUUUUGCUGAUUCGCGAUUUUUGUUCCCCUAGUUUCACGAUUAUUACCGUUAUCUUGAUGAGCGUUUCCGAUUUUUUUUUUCAGGAUCAUUUUCUCGCUCAGCUGUGAACUAUAUGGCUGGUUGUAAAACUGCUGUAUCAAACAUAGUUAUGGCCACAGUGUUGCUGUUAACUCUGUUAGUGAUUACACCACUAUUCAAGUACACUCCAAAUGCAGUGCUUGCCUCAAUUAUUAUAGCUGCCGUGAUGAGCCUGAUCGACUAUGAAGCAGCCAUUCUUCUGUGGAAGAUUGACAAAUUUGAUUUUCUAGCUUGCAUGGGAGCCUUCUUUGGUGUCAUCUUCAAAAGUGUUGAAGUUGGCCUUGUGAUUGCGGUAAUCAAAAUAUCAAACCAUUUCUCCUUUAAAUCAAGGUUUUUCAUGUUUCUGCGAAUGCAAUUGUAGCUAGCUACAUAUUAGCUGUAUUUGGCAAUAAUAUUUACGAUAUUAAAUAUUGCGAUCAUUGGAAAAACUCAAGUCCCACGUUGAAAAGAGAUAAACUUUGAAAAUACGUAGAGAGUGACAUUACUCACGUUACAAGCCGAUUGUGUAAAUAUGAGUUAUGUCUAGUAUAAAAACUUAAUAUUAUCAGAGCUUAAAGGUUUGAAAGAAGUUUACAAAUACUAAUACUUAUCACUUUACAAACCAUCACUUGACCUACUUAUAGUAUCAGAGUUUAUAGGUCUGAAAAGAGAUUAUAACGAGUUUGACAACUUAAACUUACAAACCGCAACUAUGAACCUACGAUUUAAAACCUUGUUUAACAUUUACUUAACCCUCUUGAUGCAUGCAGGUGGCAAUAUCUUUUGCCAAAAUUCUUUUACAAGUGACAAGGCCAAAGACUGCAGUACUAGGGAAGCUUCCAGGGACAACUGUUUAUAGGAACAUCCUGCAAUAUCCUAAAGCAGCACAGAUUCCAGGCAUGUUGAUUGUCAGGGUUGAUUCUGCAAUCUAUUUCUCGAACUCCAACUACAUCAAGGACAGGUAUAUAUUAUCAAGUUUCUACACACUUUCUGAUCAAUUUUGAUGGAAUUGAGGCUGAUGAAUGAGUGAAACAUAAUUUACAGAAUAUUGAAGUGGCUGACUGAUGAAGAGAUUCUAAGGACAUCAAGUGAAUAUCCAAGUAUACAACAUCUCAUUGUCGAAAUGUCACGUAAGACUUUUAAUGAAAUCCUUUCAUCCACUUUUUCAUGAUUUAUUUUGAUGAUUGAAUUUAAUAAUUAAGCAACCAUAUUAUUGUAGCUGUUACUGAUAUUGACACUAGUGGCAUCCAUUCCUUUGAAGAUUUACUUAAGAGCCUCAAGAAAAGAGAUAUCCAGGUAGUUAACAUUUACAAAAUUCUAACAUUUAUUUUUAUUUUUCUACAUCAUUAGUCAUUACUAUAAGAACUCUUCUUAAAAUUGGAAACAAAUGGUAAACAGUUCCAAUGUUUGAUCUCUGAAAUUAACAAAAUUCAAAAUGAUUUUGAAGUUAUCCAUUCAAUUAAAUGUACAACCACAUGCUUGUAAUGGCAUAGCUUAAUUCAAUCAAGCAGUGAAAUAAUUUCUUGUGUGCCAAGAAAUCCAUCUAUGAUGAUAUUAUUAUAAUUUAUAACACUGCUUCAACUUGUACUAAAAUAUUAUUCAUGUUUGUGACGUUUUGACAGCUUCUCUUGGCAAACCCGGGACCAAUUGUAAUCGAGAAACUGCAUGCAUCGAAAUUAUCAGACUUAAUCGGGGAAGAUAAAAUAUUUCUAACUGUAGGUGAUGCUGUUGCAACUUUUGGUCCAAAGGGGUUAGAUUUAUGAAGAACACAACAUAAUAACCAUUCCAACUGAAGUGUGUAUUUAAAUAAAAUAUAAAGAAAAGGGUGUGUGAAACUAUUAAGGGAGCUCUUAGGAACAAUGAAGGGGCACGUUGAUUUGUUUUCUUUAGUUUUGUUUAUUCUCAUUGAUUUCUAGUUCCAGUUGAUGUGAUGUAUAGUCAUAAGGAAAGAAAUACAUGUUUUUUAUGUUGAUUAUACUACUAUGGUCUUGGAUAUAAGCAAAAAAAACUUGUAAAAGAAUAUAGCUGAUAUAUUUGGUCUAAAUAUUGAACUAAAUACAUCAACUUUGUUUAAUCAAUUUUUGCUUAUAUUUAAGACUGGAGAAAGUAAUAUUAUAAUUUAUACCUCUUGUUUAUCUUAUAGUGUGGAAUCUAAUGAUAAUGAUAAUAUUCUUUUGUGAAUUAUAUAUACUCAAUGAUUGGAGGCAAAACCAAUUAAAAAUGAAAGAAUAAUAAGAGAGAAUUGACUUCAUGAAUUGAUUGAGUUAACAAGCAUAUAUUAUAAAUAAACAAUGUUUCAGAGUUAAGGUUUAUUAUAUAGUUGAUGUCAUGGCCUACACAUGCAACUAAAUUAACAGAGUGAUAUACUAUACAUACAAUGACCAACAUGAUGAACUUGGACGAUUUGAAAACUAAAUUCAUACAUUCAUAUAUGAAUCACAUAGAUAAUUACUUCAUUCAAGAAUCAGUCAGAUAAAAUAUUAUAUCUAACAUAAAAGGGUAUGCAAUCCACCACCUCACAAUACCCGCUGUAGAUAAUUGUAAAAAUAGGUUUUUAAAACAGAAUGAUUUACUUACCCAAAUAAAAUCGUAGUCCAAAAAAACAAUAGGAGAAAAAGUGAAAAUAUAGUUUUAGUAGUAAAAAAGAUAGACUGGAGCACAAUUAACAGAUUCAACCCUAACUCAUUCCACCACAAGAAAUUAAAAUAUGUGAUUUGCUGCGACAACAUUUGUAGCUAAUUUAUAGCAGAGAAGUUAGCUAUGGAUAUGCUACAGAAUAUCUAUGAAAUGGUUGUAACAUUUCCGUAGCAACAUAACUACAGCUUAACUUAGCAAUUCGUUGCAAAUCCAUGGCUAAACAGAAAACCAAAAAUUCAUAGCAAAAGCACAACUAAACUGUCCAUAGCAAUUUCAAUGCAAAUCCACAACUAAACUUUCUAUGUAUAUUUUUUUUUGGCUAAAAUAUGGUUUUAGUCCUUGCAAAUAUGCCUCGUUUUGAUUUUAGUCCCUGUAAAAAAAAAAUUUGUUUUUGGUCCUUGCAAAAUUUUUUGUUUUUGAAAAUAGUCCCUUUUGCAGGGACCUUUUUUAAAAACAAAAUAUUUUGCAGGGACCAAAAACUAAAAAAUUGGUUCAGUUAUAAUGUACCACGUAUGCAAAUCAUCACAAAAGUGGGGUUGUGGACUAUUUUCAAAAACAAAAAAUUUUGCAGGGACCAAAAACAAAAAAAAAGUUCUGCAGGGACUAAAACCAAAACGAGGCAUAUUUGCAAGGAAUAAAACCAUAUUUUAGUUUUUUUUUAAUAAAUUAAUAUAUAUAAAGCACUAUCCAUCAAUUAAUAAGCCACUUUAAUUGAACACACCACAGGAAAUAAAAAACAAGUAUUGCAUAAUAAGUAUGAUCAUACAAUAUUAAUCAAAUAUGAAGUUAUACAAAAGAUUCUUCAUAUUAUAACAAGAGUUGAGCUUAUAUACAUGAGAUUAGUCAUAUUAAAACCACAAUCCAAUUUGUCAAGAACAACAAUUAUGUUGGAAAAAUAAAGGACAUAUCAUUGUUUUAGUUUAUCUAAAAGAGUGCCACGCUUGCCACUACAAAAAAUACAGAGAAUAUCAAAGUAUUUUGGUAGCUAAUCCUAUAUAAAUAGAGAUAAUUCAUUAAUAAAAAACGAAAAAAACAAAAUAAAAAACCUUACUGCUCAUUCUCUAUAUUUAUAGUGACACAUUCAGCUCCCUACUUUCACAUGCAUCUCUACCCACUCAAUCACACAUACUGAUAUAUGUGAUAAGUCGAGACAUAAUACUUGGAGGUUGGACUGACGAUAUAUUCUGCUAUUUUCACGCAUCUAGAUUCUAACAACAUUGCACUGAUCUAUUUUUUUCCCUAUUUGAUUAAUCCCGAAUAUGGAAUCUAUUCGAUUAUUUGUUCUUUUAAAAGUUUUUAAAUUUUAAUUUUUAUGAAAAAACUGUGUUAGUUGGUGAGGUAGUGUUGGUCUGUUUCUAUGUUUAUGAAGGAGAGGAUCCAUAUUGGCAGAUGUCUUUGUUGCUUAUUUGAAAGUGAAAGGAUAUGAUGUGGAUAUGGUUUGGAAAUUGGUAAUGAAGCUUGAAUUUAAGGAUAAUAAAACAUCCAUUUCCCCCUUUGUUUUUUUUUCUUCUGCUUUUUAUGAGUCAAGAUCCUUUCCAUUUUAGACUACUCUCCAUAUCUUCUAUUUAGAGAGAUAAAGGCACAUGUGUGUUUGUUUCAAGUUUACCAAAUUUAUUCAUAGAAAACCAAUUUCCGAUUUUCCCACCUGUAAAAUUUUUAUUUUGAUUCACCCCAUGUAAAAUAUUUUUGUUUUGAUUUACCCCCUAAUAGGCCAAACAAAAACCAAUUUUUUUUUUAAGAAAUUUUAGUUUUUGUUUGGCCUGUCAGGGGGAUAAAUCAAAACAAAAAUAUUUUAAAGGGGGUGAAUCAAAAUAAAAAUUUUACAGGGGGGAAAACCGAAAAUGACCUAUAUUUCAGGGGGGUAAAGACCUUUUAAACUUAGAAAAAAAGGGACAAAAUUGUAAUUGUAUUAUAAAUGCAUUCCAUUCCAUUGGAUACACCUCAAAUUGGGGGAAAUAAAAAAUUGGUUGAAUGAUUGGUAUUGGAUGGAAUGAAUUCCAUCACACUGCAUUCCAUUCCAUUUUUUUUUAUACAAAAGCAAACAAUAGAAUGUGGCUUCAUCUCAAUCCAUUCCAUCACUAUCCACCAAUUCAAACAUAGCCCAAAGGUUUGGGCUAGUAAUAAAAAUAUAGGUCUUCAAUAUGAGAGGUCUUGGGUUCGAGCUCUGCUAAUGCAAUUAGAGAGGAGUAAAUGUAAAUACAUUUGUAAGCAUUUUUUUGAGCUUGAAAGUUUUACAUACCUUCGAUUAGGGCAUGGGCAUCAUCCCCUCACCCUAAAAAAAUUAUAGGCAAAAAACAAAUACCCUAUGAGUGUGUUUGGAUAGAGAAAUUGAACUAGGGAAUGCAUUUUUUUGGACUAUUUAAAUUGACUUGGACCAAAUUUCACUGUUUGAGAAAAUAUUUAAGUCAUUCCUAAAAUUCAAGGCAUUUAGAUAAGAAUUUCUCUCUUGCAUAAUUUGAAGGAUUUAAAAUAACACCUAAAUUACAAAAAUUUCAAAAUUCUCUGUCAUUUUCAUCACACGCGUUUCUCACACUACUCUCAUUCUCUUCUCCCGCGAUGCUUCUCUCUCAUUCUCUUCAUUGUGCCUCUCUCUCUCCUCGCCGUUGUGUGCUUCUCUCUCCUCAUUGUCGUUUGCUUCUCUCUCUCCUCGCAUCAUCUUCGCGGUUGCAGACAAAUUAUCACAUCAUCUUCACUGUCGUGUGCUUCUCUCAACCUUGCUAUACGAUUAUCACAUCAACUUCUUCAGAUUCCUAGCUCAUGUAUGUAUAUUUUUUUGCUUAUAACUGAUAUAGCUCAUUGAUUUAUUGACUUAUUUCAUUGUUUUUCUGAUUUAAGCCAUUAGAAUUGAUAGAUUUCACUGUGUAAGCGGUUCGAACUUGUUGAUUUCGGAGUUCUUUUUAUUUUGGAUUUUAAGUUGUUAUAAUUGACUUAUUUUAUUGUUUUUCUUAUUUAAGCCAUUAGGAUUGACUUAUUCUAAUGGCUUAAAUCAGAAAAACAAUAAAAUAAGUCAAUUCUAACAACUUAAAUCCAAAAAACUCCGAAAUCAAAGAGUUCUAACCGCUUACACAGUGAAAUCCAUCAAUUCUAAUAAAAACAAUGAAAUAAGUCAAUAAGCACUACGAUCUAUCAAUUAUAAGAAAAAAAAUACAUACAUGAGCUAGAAAUCUGAAGAAGAUGAUGCGAUAAUUUUAUAACAAGGUUAACAAAAGCAGACGGUGGCGAAGAUGAUGCGAGGAGAGAGAAGCAAACAACGACGAGGAGAGAGAAGCUCACGACUGCGAGGAGAGAGAAGCACACGACCGUCAGGAGAGAGAGACAAGGUGAAGAGAAUGAGAGUCGUGUGAGAAACGUGUGCGAUGAAAAUGACAAAGAAUUUUGAACUUUUUGUAAUUUAGGUAUUAUUUUAAAUCCCUCUAAUUUUGCAAGAGAAAAAUUCUUAUCUAAAUGCCUUAAAUUUUAAAAAUGACUUAAAUACUUUCUCAAACAGUGAAAUUUGGUUCAAGUCAAUUUAAAUACUUCGAAAAAUUACAUUCUCUCAUUAAAAUUCACUAUCUAAAUACACUCUAGGGAAUUAAGGCAUUUGUUAACGUAUUACUACACACAAUAAUUAUGAUUUUUUUUCCUUUCUGAUCGACAAACUAUUAUGAUAUUUAUAGUUAGAAGAAUAUUACUCUCUGUUAGCUCAGUUGGUAGGGAUAUUGCAUAUUAUAUGCAGGGGCUGGGGUUCGAACCCCAGACACUCCACUUCUCCAUAAUUUAAUUGUGAGCUCUAGCCAAUAGACUACUUGACAAAAAAAAAAAAGAAUAUUACUCUCUUGAUAGAUAGAAGAAUGUUACUUGAACUCGUCUUAUGUUACUUGAUUAUUUAGGAAUUACAUCCAUAUCUGGGAUUAUAGUCCAUUUUAAUACUAUAAAGUUAAGAGGAUGACAUUUGUGCCACCUACGAUAUGCUAUAAUCAAUUGUUCGUCUGUGACAACUUUGCUACUAAAACAAGUGCGAUUUUCUUGAAUAACGUAUUUUUUAAAAAUUUAGUUAUGAAGGAAAUUUUUUAUAAAUUAUGGAAAUUAUUGUCCUUUAUAAAUGUGAAAAUCAAAGCUGCGUAAACUAAAAUUUUGCAACACAGAGUCUAAAGCCAUAAAAAAUAACAUAACAACUUUUUUUUUUUUUUUGAAAACUCGGUAUCCGAUCAAGAAUCGACUAAUCCGAGGGGACCAAUCCAUACAUAACAACUAUUGCAAUCUCUUAUUCCUUAAAGUUAACCCGAAUGCAAAAUUUUGCCCUAGAUUUAACUUAACUUUUUUGCUUAAUUUUACUGUAUUAACCCUAUUUAAUCUCUUAUUCCUUAAAGUUAACCCGAACGCAAAAUUUUGCCCUAGAUUUAACAUAACUUCUUUGCUUAAUUUUACUGUAUUAACCCUAUUUAAUUAACCCUAUCUCUUAUUCCUAAACAAAGCUUUGUUGCCCUAAUUUUAACCUAAUAUUUUAACCUAAUAUUUUAGCAACUUUUCCCUCCUUCAAAACCUAACCAUAUUUCCUAAUUCCCCUCCUCCAAACCCUAACAAUGAUUUUCUAACUUCACUCCUCCUAAAACCUAUCUAAUUGAUUUCCAUAAACCAUAUCUCCUAACUCCCCUCCAAACUCUCACCAAUAUAUUUUAAUCCUUUCUCCUAAACCGAAAUCUCUUUCUAAAACCAUACCUUUCUCUUAAGCCGAAAUUUCUUAAUCAACAUGGCUUCCAGAAACAUUCAGACUUUGCUGUCAUACCACUGCCUCAUGGUAACCAUAUCUUCAUUCCACUCUGGUUUAUACUAAAUAUAUAGACUUUUGCUCUUAUUCCUCGCUGUUGUAAAGUAUAAAUCAUUCUUUCCAUCCCUUUUAAUCUUUUGUAGGUCCGUUGGUGAAAAACCCUCUUUCCGAUCUUGACAAAGCAAUCAACAAGCUGAGACUGAAAUACAGAUCAUAUAUCGUUGAAUAUGACAUUGAUGUUGUAUGUGUUUUUUGCAAAAUAUACCUAUUCUUAAUUAUUUGCAUUCUAUUUUAUCAACUUUUGUGAUGUUUUUGUUUGUUAUUUUUUUAGGGUGCAGUAUGCUUGCCAAACAUGUUUGGCGGUGAUUUUGGAGAUCAAAUUGGGCGCUAUGCAAUAUUGACUGAUCCACUUUUAUUCUUUAACUUCUUUUAUUCCUUUUCCUCUUAGUUGAUAUAAGUUACAUGGAUUUCUAAUUUUGCAGAUUCUACUUUACACCGGCAAUGUUCCGCAGAUGCUUGAUACACUCAAGACAACCGUGAAUAUUAUCGACGAUUGCGCUAACUUAUGGGUGUGUGAGCUAACUUUUGCAACUUUUCCUUAUGAACACUUCAAGAUAGGACGGCGUUGGAAUAGGUUUGUGGAAGCUCGCAGGCUCCGUGAAGGUGUGAGAUCAGAGGGGGUGCUCCGAUGGUUGGUCACAUGAUACCAUCUACCUUGAUGUUAUUUACAAUUAGUCCAUGUUUAGAUAAAUUGUGCAACACCUUCCCACUUUGAAUUUUAAGUUUUAGUUUCUUAGAGUUUUGGAAGCAUCUAUUUUUUUGUCUUUGAAUUUAGCAAAUGUCCCUUGAAUUUUAGAAAUAAUUUAGUCUUGCUUGCUUUAGUUUUUGAUUUAUAUAUUUGUGUUUGUGCUGCUCAAACUAUAUUUAGUAGCAUUGCUGUGUUAUUGAAGCAUUUUAGUAUCAUAGCUUUUAGUAACAUUAUUAGUAACAAUUACUACCUUUUGGUGACACUUUUAGUAACAUUAUUACUUACAAUUACUAAUCCUAAUCUCUAAAAUAUGUUUUGGGUGGAAUCAAACUAAAAUCCUAAUCCUAAUUUCUCUCAUUCAAAUAAUUACGGGAUUUCAUCCACAUCUCUAAGAUAUGUUUUGUGAUAAAAUUUUAGCAAGUGUACUAAAACUAUCGAAGUAAUAAAAUAAAUUCGUAUCCACGAGGACUGUGUUAAUCUCAACUUAGCAAUAAAGUUAAUAUCUAGGAUGUGUAAAUUUUAUAAGUGUCUGAGGCAGUAGAUUAGGGUGCAAUAAAAAGUAAAUAAUAGGAAAUAAAAUGGUUUGAUGAUUGAAUUAAAACAGAUGAUCAAACCAGUGAAUCCUCUAUUGCUUUAUGUGAAAUAGCUUAUCUCUCUUUACUCUCAACACUUAUUCAAUCUUUACGACAAAUUAACUAAUUAGUUUUGAUCAAUCUCUUGACUCAAAACCCUUUCCUAAGUUAAAACCUUUUAAUCUCUUAAACCGAUUGAAUAACCGCGGAAGCGAUGUCAGAAUGUUAAUUCAUAUGUCAUAACCCUCAAUUUUCUAUCUCUAGGUUCCUAUGUUGAAUUAAACAGAAUUACUAUUUCAGGAUUAAAAGCUAGGGUUAGUAGUCAUUCAAUUCCUAAGAUCAAUUUAUGUGAUUGCAAGAAGCUAGGGUUAAUAGUCAUGCAAGCAAUCAUAUGAAAAGCAAUGAACACAAAUAAUUCUGAAUAAAGACUGAAUAAUAUUGAUAAUAAAGAGAGUUUCAACUACAUUCAUAUAUUACAAUAGGUUCAUCAUGGCUCAAUCAAAGAGAAUUAGCUAGACAUGAUUAAAUAAAUAAACAACAUAGUAAGAAAAUAAAUCGAUAGAGUUUCGUCGAUGUCGGCGUUGCUCCUCAAUCUUCUUUCAAUCUGUGUUGUUUUCUCUCUCCCCUGUAGCGUCCCUUUUCCAAAACGUAAAUCCUAUAUUUAUUUCUUCCAAAAGUGUGAUCACCUUUCCUUGUUCCUGUACGUUUUCUCCUAUAAGCCCAUCAAUUAAUAUGUUGCUUUUUGUCACCUCUUGUUUUUCUCUUCUUUGAUUAUAUAAAUAUAACCAAUAAUAAUGAUAAUAACCUAUUAAUUCCAAUCAUUUGCUUGCUUGACUCAAUAGACCAAAAAUACCAUACUUUAUUUAAAUUGACUCUAAAUUAAAUACUAAACUAAUAAAACUAGACUAAAAACUUAUUAAAAAAAAACUUUAAAAAUAGUGAAUGACUGACUGUCAUCACAACCCCAAACUUGAACCAUUCCUUGUCCUCAAGGAUUUACUUGUAACAUUGACAAUUGACAGUAAAAUAACAAUUACCUGAUCAAGCGAUAGUACCCAAAAGUUCAACACCUUACUAGCUAAAGAUGAGCUAGUUUGACUUGUUAGCAACCACCAAUUCACAACUCCACGCAACAAUAUGAAAGGGUUCACACACAGUCGACAUGCAAUCUACAUAUUACCAUACGCUUGAAAAGUUUCUAAACGUCAAUCAAAAUCAAUGUCAAUGCACACUUUGAGGUCUUUAACGGUUAUAACGGGGCUUAGGUGAAGGUGAGAUAAUAUUUGGAUAAGUAGGCUACACAAAAUUUGAGUUAGGCAUUCCUACGGAAGUUAAGCACAAAAUUCAAUCCAUCAUUCAUUCACCUUUUGGAACAACAAUUCUUGCAAGGGUACUAGAAAUUAUUUAUAACAAUCGGGACAAUCGAGUUUGAAGUUACUCGGUUUUUCAAUGUCAUGUCCCUUUUUCAUUCUAUUAUAUUCUCUUUUUUUUUUUUUUGAACACACCAUUUUGGCAUAUUGUUUUCAUGAGAAUGUUUUUUUUUUCUUUGUUCUCUAGUACCCCACCCCAAACUUAAUUGGUUGCAAAUUCCAUUAGCAACCCCAAACUUAAUAUUUAGCAACAUUCUUCAAUGCCUAACUCAGAAAAACAAUAAGGGAUAAAUCCUAAAAGUCUCCAAGCUUGUAAUGUAGUUUGUCACCGAACAAAAAGUUCUAAACCUACCGGCUCAAUUUGGCUAAAGAAAGGAUAAUUAUUCAAAUAUAAACAGGGUAGGCUUCAAAAAGGCUCACAGGACCAAGCACUUUUGCCUCAGUGUGCUAAUGACAAAGAUCAAUCGACAGUAGAGAAAAAUUGCAAGUUCUAGAAAUGUAAAUGCAUGGAACACUCUUUAGAAGUAAAUUAGAAAAUAAAAUUUGGCCAUGAACCUUACAGUUUAGAUUUCUGGGAGUUGUGACUACCUAUCCUUAACUGCAGUACACUUCGCCUUUGAAAUCACAAGUCACUCCUCCUUUUGAACUUUUGGAAUACCACUUGAACACAUAUUUGUUACUAAACUGGAAAAAGUCAAUAAAACAAGAAAAUUCAUCAAUAAUAAACAAGUGCAAGAACAAUUACAUAACAGGGGGAUACAACUGAGUUAUUCAAACACACUGACAAUUGCCUGACUCAACAAUAGGAAUAAAAUACUGAAAAUAAAAACAUAAUAAAAAUGAUGGGUUGCCUCCCAUCAAGCGCUUUAUUUUACGUCAUUGAGCUUGACGCUCCAACCACUGUUAGGGUGGCAAAUAUGAUAGAAAGAAUAUAUCAUCCUUCUUCUUCCUCUUGUUUGGUAGGAAUUCCAUGAAUUUGGCACAAAGCAGUAGAUGCUCCCAUGCUCCAGCCACUAAAUCUUUGUCAUUUGAGCUCUCCCACCUUAAAGAAGGACAUGCAUCUAUUUGCACAAGAGUGAUUUCCUUAACCCCCGUUGAUCCAGACUUCGAGAAAAUAUCAACACUCCUCACUUUGGAAUUUUCUUCUACCACAACCUUGUGACACACAGUCUCCAUCUGAACCAACUUCCUCUGAGACUCAUGUGCUUUCUCAACAAGAUUACCACACUGAACAUCAAACUUCUCAAAUAAAACUUGAUUUGACACCAAGAAAUCAUCUAAAAUAUUUUGAAGUUGAGUAUUGUAACCGAUGUUGAUCAUCUCUUUCUUCUCUUCACAAUUACUACCUGGUUGAUCCCCCUCAUAACGACCACAUCUCUCAUUUAAUCUUGAGAUUUUAUUGUCAAAAUAUCCUAUCUUCAAAGAUAGCAUAUAUUUUUCAUACUUCAACAUACCAAUCUCUUUUGUGUCAUGGAGGUAUAACCUGUCUAUCAUAGCUGCAACACUUGAAUAAACUUUUUAGUAGCACAGUACAAUGAGAAGAAAAAGAAGAGCAUAAAUCAUUUUUUUUUUAUAAACAAAAAUAUAAAUGACAGAAAUCCUAAAUAAAAACAAAAUUACCAAAUUGAAAUGACUCAACAGUCCCCGGCAGCAGCGCCAAAAACUUGAUAAAAUUUUAGCAAGUGUACUAAAACUAUCGAAGUAAUAAAAUAAAUUCGUAUCCACGAGGACUGUGUUAAUCUCAACUUAGCAAUAAAGUUAAUAUCUAGGAUGUGUAAAUUUUAUAAGUGUCUGAGGCAGUAGAUUAGGGUGCAAUAAAAAGUAAAUAAUAGGAAAUAAAAUGGUUUGAUGAUUGGAUUAAAACAGAUGAUCAAGCCAGUGAAUCCUCUAUUGCUUUAUGUGAAAUAGCUUAUCUCUCUUUACUCUCAACACUUAUUCAAUCUUUACGACAAAUUAACUAAUUAGUUUUGAUCAAUCUCUUGACUCAAAACCCUUUCCUAAGUUAAAACAUUUUAAUCUCUUAAACCGAUUGAAUAACCGCGGAAGCGAUGUCAGAAUGUUAAUUCAUAUGUCAUAACCCUCAAUUUCCUAUCUCUAGGUUCCUAUGUUGAAUUAAACAGAAUUACUAUUUCAGGAUUAAAAGCUAGGGUUAGUAGUCAUUCAAUUCCUAAGAUCAAUUUAUGUGAUUGCAAGAAGCUAGGGUUAAUAGUCAUGCAAGCAAUCAUAUGAAAAACAAUGAACACAAAUAAUUCUGAAUAAAGACUGAAUAAUAUUGAUAAUAAAGAGAGUUUCAACUACAUUCAUAUAUUACAAUAGGUUCAUCAUGGCUCAAUCAAAGAGAAUUAGCUAGACAUGAUUAAAUAAAUAAACAACAUAGUAAGAAAAUAAACCGAUAGAGUUUCGUCGAUGUCGGCGUUGCUCCUCAAUCUUCUUUCAAUCUGUGUUGUUUUCUCUCCCCUGUAGCGUCCCUUUUCCAAAACGUAAAUCCUAUAUUUAUUUCUUCCAAAAGUGUGAUCACCUUUCCUUGUUCCUGUACGUUUUCUCCUAUAAGCCCAUCAAUUAAUAUGUUGCUUUUUGUCACCUCUUGUUUUUCUCUUCUUUGAUUAUAUAAAUAUAACCAAUAAUAAUGAUAAUAACCUAUUAAUUCCAAUCAUUUGCUUGCUUGACUCAAUAGACCAAAAAUACCAUACUUUAUUUAAAUUGACUCUAAAUUAAAUACUAAACUAAUAAAACUAGACUAAAAACUUAUUAAAAAAAAACUUUAAAAAUAGUGAAUGACUGACUGUCAUCAUUUUGGGUGGAAACAAACUAAAAAUCCUAAUUCCUCCCAUUCAAGUAACUACUAAAGAUUUCAUCCACGUCUCUAAAAUAUUUUUUAAGUGGAAACAAAUCCUAAUCCUAAUUUUUCUCAUUCAAGUAACCAAGAGAUUUCAUCCACAUCUCUAAAGUAACUUUUUGGUGGAAACAAACUAAAAUCCUUAUUUCUCUCACUCCAAUAAGUAGGGGAUUUCAUCCACAUCUCUAAAAUAUGUUUUGGGUGGAAACAAACUAAAUUCCUAAUCCUAAUUUCUUUCAUUCAAGUAACUAAGAGAUUUCAUCCACAUCUCUAAAGUAACUUUUUGGUGCAAACAAACUAAAAUCCUUAUUUCUCUCAUUCAAAUAAUUAGGGGAUUUCAUCCACAUCUCUAAAAUAUGUUUUGGGUGGAAAUAAACUAAAAAUCCUAAUUCCUCUCAUUCAAGUAACUACUAAAGAUUUCAUCCACAUCUCUAAAAUAUGUUUUGGGUGGAAACAAAUUAAAAUCCUAAUCCUAAUUUCUCUCAUGUAACUAAGAGAUUUCAUCCACAUCUCUAAACUAACUUUUUGGUGGAAACAAACUAAAAUCCUUAUUUCUCUCAUUCAAAUAAGUAGGGGAUUUCAUCCACAUCUCUAAAAUAUAUUUUGGGUGGAAACAAACUAAAAAUCUUAAUUCUUCUCAUUCAAGUAUCUAAGAGAUUUCAUCCACAUCUCUAAAGUAACUUUUUGGUGGAAACAAACUAAAAUCCUUAUUUCUCUCAUUCAAAUAAGUAGGGGAUUUCAUCCACAUCUCUAAAAUAUGUUUUGGGUGGAAACAAACUAAAAAUCAUAAUUCCUCUCAUUCAAGUAACUACUACACAUUUAAUCCACAUCUCUAAAAUAUGUUUUGGCGAGUCAACUAUGGUAAUUCUUAAGUCAAAAAAAAAUGCCCCAUCGAAAAUAUUAAUUUCAUUUUAUACAUAUUAAUCUUUAUCCAAAAAUGUUGAGCAUAAUUUUAUUCCACUUCAACAAGAUCCCUUUGUUCUGCGCCCCUUCCCUAUUUACAUGUCAAUUCUUAAGUAAAACAAAGUGCCCCAUCAACAAUAUUAAUUUCAUUUUAUUCAUAUUAAUCUUUAUCCUAAAAUGUUGGCCACUUCCUAAUUUUGUUCCACUUUUUUGUGCUUAUCCUGAUAACUAAUACUCUUUAUUGCUAAACCGACAUAUCCUACUAACACGUAUUGCACCUUUUUCCUUCAAGUUGCUCUCUCAGCUAUAUUUGCUUAUCUAUGGAAACUUUUUCCAGUCCACCUAAAUAAAUUUAUUCAUUGGCAUAAGUAUUAUUUCAAAAAUUUAUUAUCAUUGUCUUUUAUCAGCGCUUCGACCUCUAAAAGUACAAAAUUUAUUUUUCGAUCUACCUCCGGAAGAUGUUAAUAUUUUUCUGAAUGUUAAAAAAGCAAUAGAUAUAGAGAUUUAGAUUCAUAUUGUGCUUUUAUGAAUGUUACUUCAAAAUUAACUCGUGGUAAUUGUGGAGUGGAAGCCUAACAUGCACCCCUCCAAAGUCACUCUAUCCAUGACGAGGUUUACCUUAAUUUUGUAGAGACUAUUGAUGUUUCUGCUAAAUAUUUUUUCUUUCUUUCUUUUCUUCGGUGACUUGACAUCUUUUCCUUUUUAACUAGGCAGAAUGCUUGACAUGUCUUUUAUUAUGAAAUCUGUUAUACAAAUUGUCUUUGAUCUAUAGUCUAAGUCGUGCUUGAGUUGUCAAAGAUGAAAAUGUAAAUUUGAUCAAUAUUCAAUGUUUAUAGUUUCUUAUGUUAGGACAUCUGUAAUAUGGGAGGAUGGUUGUUGUGCAAAUAAUUCAUUCCUUUAGCCUGACAAGAGCGAAGUAAAUUUACAUUGAAUAGAGGAAAGUGGUAAAUAAUAUCUAAAAUUAAAAUGACAGAUUUUGGAGAUCACCUAAAUAGUAAAAAAUAUAUAAUAAUACAAAUACACAAACUGAUGUUUUUCAUUUUACAGAUACUUUACAAUAAUCAUAUACAAACUGAUCUAAAGCAAAUGGUGAACAAAAAUACUAAAUAGGUGGAAGUUUUAUAGGUGGAAGUUGUAUCGCUAUUUUGUCCUUAUAUUAUAUAUAAAACACGAUGCAAACACUUGAAUAUAUUUCAAUUGGUUCCAUUCAGCACAUUGAUGAAAUAGGAUGUUAAUCCAUGUCGUGUUUUUAGCGUAUCCAACGUAAAUAUAAUGUUUGUAAGAGGUCUUUUAUACGCAAUAUUUUAUAGUUAGCUUAUAUCGAUCUUCCACGAAGUUAAAUGACAUUUUGUACAAUCCUUUCUUUUUUUGGAUUAAUUUACCAUGAAGUUAGCUUAUAUCGAUUUUCCAUGUCAUGUUUACAGUUAUAUAUACUAUUGAAUUUCAAAAAUGUGGACUACCGCAUGCACACAUACUGGUGUUUUUGAAGCCAACUUAUCAGUGCAAGAAACCUGAGGAUCUUGAUAAGAUUAUAUCAGCAGAGAUUCCAAACAAAGAUACAGAUGGGGAGUUAUUUAAUAUUGUGACUACGCUCAUGAUUCACGGCCCAUGUGGUGACCAAAACACAAGAUCGCCUUGCAUGCUAAAUAAUAAAUGUAGCAAGCACUUUCCAAUGAAAUUUGUUGAUCAAACUGUGAUCGAUAAAGAUGGUUAUCCAGUUUACAAGAGAAGAGACAAUGGAGUUUAUGUAAAAAAAGGAGAGUGCUUUGCAGAUAAUAGGUUUGUUGUGCCGUAUAAUAAAACACUCCUCUUGAAGUACAAAGCCCAUAUCAAUGUAGAGUGGUGCAACCAAAUUCGGUCAAUCAAGUACCUUUUCAAAUAUGUAAACAAAGGACAUGAUCGCGUCACCGCAAACUUUUACGGUAAUGGAUGUGAAAAUAGUUUGGAUGAGAUAAAGAUGUAUUAUGAUUGUCGGUAUUUGUCCGCGUGUGAAGCGGCCUGGAGAAUAUUCUCUUUUGACAUAAAUUACAGAGAACCUUCGGUGGAACGCUUAAAUUAUCAUUUGGAAAAUGAGCAUUCAGUUUUGUACGAAGAAAACGACGACAUUGAACAAGUCAUUGAGAGAUCGCAUAGAAAAACUACAAAGUUUUUGGCUUGGAUGAAAGCAAAUGAAAAGUAUCCAGAAGCUAGAAAUUUGACUUACAAUCAAUUCCCGACCCAGUUUGUGUGGAAGGAAAAAGACCACGAAUGGACUCCUAGACGGUGUGGUUUUUCGAUAGGGCGGGUCCAUUUUGCUCCGCCUGGUUCCGGCGAAAGGUUUUACCUAAGAACUCUCUUGAAUUACAUCAAAGGUCCUACAUCUUUCAAUGACAUCAAGACGGUCGAUGAUGUCAAAUAUAAUACUUUCAAGGAAGCCUGCUUCGCUAUGGGGUUACUCGAUGAUGACAAGGAGUUUAUAGACGCGAUAAUUGAAGCCAGUCUUUGGGGCACUGGUAUUUAUUUACGUAGACUAUUCGUAGCACUGAUGGUGACAGAUCAAUUUGCCAGACCAGAGGUCGUGUGGAAUUCUACAAACGAAAAUUUAAUUGAUGACAUACUCCACAAACAAAGGCGGCUUCUUGGAGCUCCAGGAUAAUUUUAGUGCAUAUUUAUUUUUUGUAAUUACAUAUGAAUUAUAUUGGUUCCUUCUUUUUUUUCAAAUAAUUAUCCAUUUCUCACCUUACAUGUGUAUGUAUUUAAACCAAUAUAAAUACGGUUGUUUCUUCAGAUUACAUGCAAUGACAUUUGUGUAUCUAAUUUUGGUUCCAUGUUUGUGCCAAAUAUUUGUUAUACUCAUAGUUUGCUUAUAUUAUGAAGGAAAAACUAUUUACAUCACAGAAAUUUAUUUGUUCAAGUUUAAAAAAAAAUAAAAUAACAUGCAUCGACACGUCUGUUUAUUAUGAGAAAUGACAUGAACAUUGUUGUUUUUACAUGGAUAUUUUCAAUUUACAAGUCACGCUGAUUUUUAACAAACCUUAUUUGUUUCCCAGAUUUACGGUUGACUCAUGAGCAGUUGAAGGCGUAUGCGUUGGCCGAACUAGAAACGAUGUUGCAAAGUUUUGGAAAGAGUUUGUCUGAUUUUCCUCCAAUGCCAAAGGCGGAUGCAUCUUUAGUACCGGAUGUCGAGAGUAGGUUGAUUCACGAUGAGAUGAGUUAUAAUAGGCCUGUACUAGCUGCUCAACAUGACCGGAUGAUGUCAACCAUGACUUCAGAGCAACGUAAUGUAUAUGAUAAAAUAAUGACAAGAGUUAAGGAAGACAAAUCUGGGUUGUUCUUCCUGUAUGGUUAUGGUGGUACUGGGAAAACAUUUAUUUGGAGGGCUUUAUGUGCUGCUUUGAGGUCUGAUGGUGGGAUUGUUUUGGCAUGUGCAUCAAGUGGGAUUGUUGCCUUGCUUAUACCCGGUGGAAGAACUGCACAUUCAAGAUUCGGUAUCCCUUUUACAAUAGACGAAUGCUCUAUGUGUGGAGUUACACCAAAUACACCGUUGGCAUCGCUGCUGAUCAAGGCUAAACUUAUCAUAUGGGAUGAAGUGCCAAUGAUGCACAAGCAUUGUUUCGAAGCACUUACCCAAUUGGGGAAAUCAAUGAUGUCGACAUAUCUGUUGUUAUCCCGUCCGACUUGCUUAUUCCAAGUUCAGGUAAUCCUGUUGCAUCUAUCGUUGAUAGCACUUACCCAAAUUUGUUAGGAAACAUCGGUAAAGUAAAAUAUUUUCAAAGUAGAGCAAUAUUGGCGCCAAAGAAUACCAUUGUUGAACAGGUUAAUGAUUAUGUGUUCAACUUGAUUCCUGGUGAAGAAAAAAUCUAUUUGAGUUACGAUACACCUUAUCAUAAAAACAUAGAUGGUGACGCCGUAGAUGACAUCCAUACUCCUGAAUUCCUCAACACCAUUGUGGCGUCCGGAUUUCCAAAUCAUCGGUUGCGACUGAAAGUAGGAGCACCUGUCAUGUUACUCAGGAACAUGGAUCAAAGUUUGGGCUUAUGUAACGGUACGAGAUUGAUCAUUACAAAGAUGGGAAAAUUUGUGCUUGAAGGACGGGUAAUAUCUGGUUCUAAUAUCAUUGAGAAGGUGUUUAUUCCAAGGUUAUCGCUAACACCAUCUGAUAAUAGAAUUCCUUUCAAAUUUAAACGAAGGCAGUUUCCGAUAUUUGUCUCAUUUGCAAUGACUAUUAACAAGAGUUAGGGUCAGUCGCUAGAACAUGUUGGUGUCUACCUACCGUCUCCUAUUUUUUCACAUGGACAGUUGUACGUCGCAAUAUCACGGGUUACUUCGAGGGGUGGUUUAAAAAUAUUGAUUGCUGACGACGACGGCGAUGAUAUCGAUGUUGCAUCAAAUGUGGUCUACAGAGAAGUUUUCCGUAAUGUGUAGGACUUUUUUGUGUACUGUUCAUUUUCUUACUUAUUGAAACUAUUUGCAUGUCAACGAACUUCAAUUUCCCUUUCAAAAUUAUAUGUUAUUUUAAAGUAACAGGAACUACGUACUAGAAUUAUGGAACAAUAACAAAGUCUUUGGUAUUGACAUUUUGCUUUGAUUCACGACAAUUUUUAGAUUCACGCGAACUACAGUGUCUUAUUUUUUUAGUGAAUAUUAUAUUUUUUAAAUGACACGUGCGUUAGCACGGGUCAAUGGUCUAGUUUAAUUUAAUCAAAAUGUUAACGUUAAUUGUUAAGGGAAAUCAAAAUAAACAAAUCGCUCCUAAUUUUUCUCCUUAAUUUUACUAAACAAAUUAUAUUAACCCUAGAUUUAAUUUAUGCAAAAUGUCGUCACUUAUCUCUUAUUUAUAAACGUUAAGUUGUGACGCAAUAUUAACCCUAGAUUUAACCUAAUUUUUUCGUGUGACUUUACUGUAUUAACCCUAGAUUUAAUUUAUGCAAAAUGUCAUCUCUUAUCUCUUAUUUCUAAAUGUUAACCCGUGACGCAAUAUUAACCCUAGAUUUAACCUAUUUUUUCGCGUGACUUUACUAUAUUAACCCUAGAUUUAAUUUAUGCAAAAUGUCAUCUCUAAUUUUAACCUAAUUUUUUCCUCCACACUUUUGCAUUUAAUGUUUAUCUAAAGUAAAAUAAAAUUAUGUUUCCAAUUAUAUGUUGUUUUUUUGGUAAGGAAUAACCGUUAACCCGUUUCGCUAUACUUAAUCUAAUCUCUUACUUAUAAAUGUUAACCUGUUUUGCUAUACUUAACCUAUUUUAUUUCUUAAAGUUAACCCGAACGCAAAAUUUUGCCCUAGAUUUAACCUAACUUAUUUGCUUAAUUUUACUGUAUUAACCCUAUUUAAUUAACCAUGUUUAAUUUAAUCAAAAUGUUAACGUUAAUUGUUAGGGAAAUCAAAAUAAACAAAUCGGUCCUAAUUUUUCUCUUUAAUUUUACUAAACAAAUUAUAUUAACCCUAGAUUUAAUUUAUGCAAAAUGACAUCUCUUAUUUCCAAAUGUUAACCCGUGACGAAAUAUUAACCCUAGAUUUAACCUAAUUUUUUUGUGUGACUUUACUAUAUUAACCCUAGAUUUAAUUUCCAAAUGUUAACCCGUGACGAAAUAUUAACCCUAGAUUUAACCUAAUUUUUUUGUGUGACUUUACUAUAUUAACCCUAGAUUUAAUUUAUGCAAAAUGUCAUCUCUUAUCUCUUAUUUCUAAAUGUUAACCUGUGACGCAAUAUUAACCCUAGAUUUAACCUAUUUUUUCGUGUGACUUUACUAUAUUAACCCUAGAUUUAAUUUAUGCAAAAUGUCAGCUCUAAUUUUAACCUAAAUUUUCUCGCCACACUUUUACAUUUAAUGUUUAUCUAAGGUAAAAUAAUAACCUUAGAUAAUCACGGCAUAAAAAAAUUCUUCGAAAGAAAAGAUGUUAAAACGACGGAACAUUGUGAUUCAUCAUGAAAUAUGUAUGGGUUGAUUUAGAGAUCAUAUAAUCAGUUUAUGAGAUUAAGAAUUGACAUAAUAUUUAGGAUGAAAACAAUUGGAACCAAAAAAGAACCAAUGAUGUGUGAAUUACGAUUACAUGUUAUCCAAAAUUAUAAAAAAGAGUGUUGUUGUUGUAGAGUUACCAAAAAAGGAUUGAUACCGAUAUUUACAUCAGAUGAAAUCAAGCAAAGAAAUAGCAUCGGUGAGUGAAGAUAAUUUUGUUUAGGAUUAAAGUUAAGGUGAUCUGUUGAAAGUCCGGAUCAUGAACACCAAAUCUUUAUUUGGGAACGACUUGAACGUGCAUAUUUUUAGGUGGCUUCUCUAGAUAAAAAAUUAGCUUAUCACCUACCUUUAACAUAUGUUCUCGACAAAAGUUGAACCAUUGACCGCCUAAGUAUUUUUCAUAACUUGCUCUCUUUGCCGUUAUCAAGCGACACUUAUACCUUUUUUGAGUUUGUUUGUAGAUGAGUGUGAUAUUUUUCCCCGUUCCUUUUAGAAAUGUCCUUGAUAUCUCAUUUGGGAAGUAAUAGGUACAAAACAAAUUGUAGUGUUAAUUAGAUGUUAAAUAUAUAUAAGUACAUUUCUAAAACAUUUACCAAAACAUUAUAAAGAUUUGCUGUAGGGAAAAGAACAUGUUCUAUUUUGUUCAAGAGAUUAGGAAAACAACAUUAUAAUUAACUUGAUACUAAUUGGAAUCAAUGAAGGAACCAACAAUGUGCAUAUUAACAUUAAAUAACAGUUAGGUUUAUAAAAAAGACUGUAAGAGUCAUAGACUAAUCAAAAAGGGAUUUUUGCCAAUAUUUACAUCAGACAAAAUGAAAAGAACAAAUAACAUCCCAAAGUCAAGAUAGUUUACGAUUACAGUCCAAAGCGAUGCAUCAAAAUAGUAUAAGUUCAAAUAGUUCAGCAGCAAAGAUCUACUUUGGAACAACUCAAACAUGCAAGUUCUUCUGUGACUUUUCGAGAUCAAAGAUGAGCUUACCACCUUCUUCCAUCACACGUUCUUUGCAGAAAUUGAACCACUGUCCACCCAAGUAUUUUUCAUAGCUUUCUCUUUCGGCGGUAAUGAGGCGACACUUAUAUUUUCUCUGUGUCUGGUCAUCAAUGAGAGUGAAUGUUUUGCGCUUUCCUUUUAGAAUUGUUCUUGACAUCUCGUUUGGGAAAUGCUAAACAGAUAAAUAAAAACAAUAUUAGUCUAAUGCAUAUUAACAUGGAUAAGACGUAUGUGAAUAUAGUUACAUAUAAUUUAUAAAAUAAAGGUAGCAUAACUGAUUUUAAGCUAAAGAAAAUGUAUCAUGACUUCUAAUUUAUCUUCCUAUUAUCUUCCUAAAAAGGCUAGAUAAAUGCAUUCAUGUGCAUUAUAUGAACCCCGUUGACCAAUUAACAUUGUUGAAACAAAUGAAAAUUAAGCAUCGCUCCCGCAUGUGCAUCUAUAGCUAGCACCAUUUGACAUUGAUGUCUUUGAACAUUUGGUGCAAUUCUCAUAAUAUCAUCCAAAUGAAAGAAUAAUUUUUGGAUCAAUACAUGAAUGAAUGUAAUGUUAAUUAUAUGAAACAAUACAUUAACAAAAUAAUCAUAUGGAAAGGAAACUAGUUAGUAUGAUCAUCUUUGGUUAUAUUGUUUUUGGCCCUCAUUCUACUACCCCAUGAUGAUGAUGAUCCUGCAGCCAUACGUGUAUGAGACCUUCUAUUCAACUCAACCAUUUGUUCCAUCAACCUACUUCUUCUCAAACCCAAACUCAACUCAAAGUCAUAUUCUUCUUUAAGCUUUGGAUUUGACAAAGUCUCAUAAGCUGCAUUGAGUUGUACAAACAUCUUCGUUGAUUCCUCUUUCUUCAAACGAUCAUGACAAACAUCAGGAUGAUACUGGAGAGCCAUUGUUCUAUAUGCUCUCUUUAUGUCAUCCAUUGUUGCACUUUUAGGACUCAAACAUAGUAUCUUGUACAAGUUGCCAUCAUCAUUCAACUCAUUAUGAAUUGGAACAUUUUUUGUAGCUCUGCAUGAAACAGAAAACUGCAUACGAGGUUGUCUACUUGAGAGUGGAAGGAUAUGAUGUUGAUAUGGUUUGGAAAUGCUAAUUAGGCCUGAGUUUAAGGAUAAUAAAACAUCCAUAAUUUUGUUUUUCUGUCUGUUUUUGAGAUGCAUGUGAGAGUGCAUUACACACAAUUAUAUGAAUAUUUAUAGCUAGAAGAAUGUUGUUUGAAUUCGUCUUAUUGUUAAUUGAUUUGUAUUAGACCAUAAGAAUACUUUAUUAUUUUUGUCAACCGAAAGAAAAAUUAUGAAUUAAUUAUUCAAUCUCUACGCGUUUUCUACAUGGUGAUCAUCGGUUAUUUUUUCUUAAUUAUUCAAUGUUAUUUUUUUAUAUUCUAAAUCAAUUUGAUAAUAUUAAUUAAUAAAAAAAUAUUUUAGAAAAAGUAACGAAUGUGUCAAAAUUUUGUAAUAUUUAAGGAAUAAUAAAUGUUUAAAAAUUAUCUUAUGAUUAGAGUAAGCAAUAUUAAUUAAGCGGUUUUGAUGAAUAUGGUUUUGCACACAUUAUUGAUAUUAACGACACAUUUAGGUAGAAAAAAAGAUUAUACAUGAUCAGGAAAUGGUCUUCAUUGUACCCAAAAAAAAAAAAAAAAAAAAAAGGAAAUGGUCUUCAUCGGCAUCAAAUCUCUAAUUAAUGCGUUCAAGAUGAUGUAGAAAGAAAGGCAAAUUGUAUUGUUCUUCUAAGAGCAAUGCUAUUUACAUUAUUUAUCACAAAAUCUAUUGAUACAAAACAUGCAUAAGUCGUUGUUUUUUCUGGAAGAUGCUUGAUAGAUUAAUUUCAAGAGAGGGCUAAUGUAUAUGAGAAAUUUUAUGGUUCUGUGAAGAAAAAGAAAAAUGGGAUAUUGGUCGUGUUUCUAUUUUUGUUAAACGAUGUGUUUUUAGUAUAUGUGGCCAACCAGCGUAGAUAGAUUAAAAAUAACGUUAACAACCUCUUUUAUGUCUCUUGAAACCACUACUGUACAUGUUUUAUUUUUCUUGAAACCACUACUGUACAUGUUUUAUUUUAAUUAAAUUCAAAGAAAUUAUGUUUUUUUGUUUACACUUCAUAGAAAUUAUUAUGAAAUAAUAAUAAUUGAAAAAUAAGUUGAUCAUGUAUUAAAAUUUGGGUAAAUAAAUAGUCAUUUUGAUAUCUGGAUGUGUAACGAAUAGUUACGAUAGUCCUUCAAUGUAUCGAAAUUUUAAAAUAGUCUUUGAUUGUGGACUAUAUAUCAAAAUAAUCUCCUAUGUUAAAAUGGUCUGUUAAUAUUGUCAUAUAAAUCUCUUAAUAUACCUAUUUAUUGUCAUAUCAGUUAUUAUAAGUACUUACUUACUGUGAUAUUAGUCCUUAUAUAAAAAUGUUGAUGUAGCACCGAGGGAUUAUUUUAACGUCAAGAACUAUAUUGACUAAUGAAGUGUACAAUCAUAGACUAUUUUAGAAUUUCGAUACAUUGAGAGACUAUGAUUGCUAUUCGUUACACAUUCAAAGAUCAAAACGGUUAUUUGCAUAUUAAAGUUUAGGUUGGACAUAACUCAAUACUACAAAACCAAAUUCCAAAUUAAGGACCACCCUUAGUGAUGCAGGAGGGUUUUCUUAGUAAUUUAGUAGUAUUUUAUUAUUUAAGUCUAAUUUUCUAGAACUUUUUAUUUUGUUUUCAGUUUAUUAUUUCUGGCCCAUUCGAGUUUGUUAUUUUCUUAUUUAAGCUUAACAGUUGUAACCUAAGAGAUAACUUAUAUUCAAUAAAUAAUAUUUUAGAAAGUUUUUUUCUCAAUUUCUAGUGGAUUUCGGAACCCUAUUUUCAUAAGUUCGUCGCUUGCGAACUUGUCCCUUUCAAUCUAGGUUAAGCGCUUGCUAGGAUACGCUUCCGUACUGCGUCACUUAGCCCCUUAUAAAAUAGGUUCAGGUCUUACUGAUCCAAUGUAGGACUUUAAAAACACCCCCUUACACCCAAGUAUGUACAUUAAAAGUGUGACAUGAAUGGCCCUAUAACAGUGACAUGCUAGCAAAUGAUUUAAUGAAUCUUGAGUAAGUUAUGAUAUCUUUGAAUUUAAUUCGAUGACUACCAUCAUUUAUAAAAACAUGUUCAAUCUUAUCCUAUUAAAAUGUGAGACUCUUAACGCAUCAUCUCUUGCUCGACAUUAUCUGGACUUGAAGACUCAUAUGUAUACACUAUUGUGUGAAAGGAAUAUUAGAAUUUAAGUUGUAACAAACUCAAUCUAAAAACACAUCAUAUUAGAAUUAUAUUUCAACAUACUAACACUUUAUUUUCUAGAAGCUCCCCUGAUAUGUAGCAUUGAAAUGUUAAUCUUUGAAAAUUUUUAGUCAAUUGGGGUGGGUGGGAACCACUCGUUUGUAUUACACGGUGUUUAGUCUCUCGUUGUUUCGUGGGAAGCAAGUUGGGUGAACAGUGAAUAUUCAUGGGAACCACCCUUUAAUGCCACAUUUUCACUUAGUUUAUGUUACUACUUUGCCACAUCUUCACUUAUACCAUAUGUAAUUAGAUACUAUACGUUUCUUUUACAAAUUACUACUUUUCUUUAAUGUUUCUGUUACUACCAUAUCAAACAUUGUUCAUAAAGUUUCUUUUUUGGAAUUUUAUAGAUGUUUUAGGGAUGUUGCAAUGUCAUUUAUUCUUUUUCAUACGAGGACGUUAUGGUUUGAGAAAAUUCGAUAAAUGAGAAAAUUCUCAUUGAAUCCAUUGAGAAAAUUAAAUAACUCAAAACAUAACUUAAAAUUUGUUAUGAAUAUUAUAAGUGGAUAUCCAUAUAGCAAUUGGAUUAUUGGAUUAUAUUGUUAGCUUAUUGGGUCAUAUUGUGCUUGCUCCCCAAGUCAUUCAUUGUAUUUCUCUAUAAAUAGAGCUCAUAUGUAACCUAAUUAGAGAUACCAAGAGAAUAAUAUAAUCCUCUUUCUUCUCUCUCUAUUCUCUCUUCUUCUCUUUAAUCUUGUUCUUCUUAUUCUAAUAGUUUCGUAACACGUUAUCAGCACGAGCUUACCAACUGAGGUAUGCAAUUCUUCUUAAUCUAUUUUUUAUGUAAAUAAGUUUUAAUUUUGUAUCAAUGAUUAUAGGCUAUACUGUUACAAUUCCAUCAAUUGAAAUCAGUGCCUUAUAGAUACAUUAAAUCAUUGUUAUGUGAAUUGUAAUUUAUUGUUGUGUUUAUUUAUUCUAUAUAUAAUAAUGAAGUGUUGCAUAAGAAUUGAUCUUCUCAUAUUAUAAAAUCAAAGAGAUCUAUUAUAUGGUUCCUGAAGAAGUCAAUAUUACUCUAUGUGAAUUUUGGAAGAAUUCAAAAGUGUGGUUCAUGAAGAACUCACUAUUAUUCUUUGUGGAUUCCUGAAUAAUUAAAAACCAUAGUUUCUGAAGAACUAAAUAUUAUUCUCUUUGAAUUUCAGAAGAAUUCAACAGCGUAGUUCGUAAAGAACUUAAUAUUUUUCUCUUUGAAUUCCUGAAGAAUUCAAAAGUGUUAAUCUAUGAAGGAAUGAUUGCUUGGAGAAUUAUUUUAUGGUUUAAAUUUAUUGCAUAGCUCUUGAAGAACUUAAAAAUCAAUCUUUAUCCUCCAUGAAUUCCUGAAAAAUUCAGUAGUGAUACAUCCAUGAAGGACUCAAAUUAUAUCAAUUAUCUUUUAUUUGAAAAUUUGAUCCAAAAAUUAUUUUCUAGAUUCUAUAUAUUUUUACUUUUCCAAAAUAAAAAACUAAUUCAAAAAGAUAAUGUAACUAAUUCAAUUUUUUUUCUAACUUUACGGUCCAUGUUUGUUAUGGAUACAACGUUAAUUCGAUGAGUUUUUCUACUUGCACCCUAGUUAAUCAUGGUUGCACCCCAAAAUGAUAAGAUUACCCUUUCAUAAAAUUUGAUUUUCAAAAAGCCUAUUCCUUCUUUUUUGGUUACACCCCAAAACCCUUCUUCCAAAACCAUAAUUCUCCAAUCGAUCGAUUGUGUUCUGCGAAGAUUUUCAAAACCAUACUUUCUCACGUCCAUUCAUGAUUUCAAAGAAAAUUCGAAGCAAAUCAGGUUAGCAAGUGUUGUUCUUCAAUCAAUUGUGUUUUUCUUGUUAUGGGUUCUCAGUUCUGAUUUUGUGUUUUCCUUGUUCUGCGAUUCACAGUUCUGCGAUUUUGUAAACUCAGUUUAAGUAGAUUCGUGUAAACUCAGUUUAAG